AGAGUUCGAUCCUGGCUCAGGAUGAACGCUGGCGGCGUGCUUAACACAUGCAAGUCGAGCGAAGCGGUUUCAAUGAAGUUUUCGGAUGGAUUUGAAAUUGACUUAGCGGCGGACGGGUGAGUAACGCGUGGGUAACCUGCCUUACACUGGGGGAUAACAGUUAGAAAUGACUGCUAAUACCGCAUAAGCGCACAGGGCCGCAUGGUCUGGUGUGAAAAACUCCGGUGGUGUAAGAUGGACCCGCGUCUGAUUAGGUAGUUGGUGGGGUAACGGCCCACCAAGCCGACGAUCAGUAGCCGACCUGAGAGGGUGACCGGCCACAUUGGGACUGAGACACGGCCCAAACUCCUACGGGAGGCAGCAGUGGGGAAUAUUGCACAAUGGGGGAAACCCUGAUGCAGCGACGCCGCGUGAGUGAAGAAGUAUUUCGGUAUGUAAAGCUCUAUCAGCAGGGAAGAAAAUGACGGUACCUGACUAAGAAGCCCCGGCUAACUACGUGCCAGCAGCCGCGGUAAUACGUAGGGGGCAAGCGUUAUCCGGAUUUACUGGGUGUAAAGGGAGCGUAGACGGCGAAGCAAGUCUGAAGUGAAAACCCAGGGCUCAACCCUGGGACUGCUUUGGAAACUGUUUUGCUAGAGUGUCGGAGAGGUAAGUGGAAUUCCUAGUGUAGCGGUGAAAUGCGUAGAUAUUAGGAGGAACACCAGUGGCGAAGGCGGCUUACUGGACUGUCACUGACACUGAUGCACGAAAGCGUGGGGAGCAAACAGGAUUAGAUACCCUGGUAGUCCACGCCGUAAACG
rnacentral:rRNA from 1 species